UUGUUUCGUAUUGGAUACUUCAUGUGGACGAUCAUUAUGUAAUUUUUCAGUGGCUUCUCCAUGCCCUCAUCAACAUUUGGUGGCAAUAUCCAUUUCUCGACUUGCCGUCUUCAUAUGCCCCGGUAUGGUAUGUUUCGGUUGCGCUGAUGCACUUUCCGUGCUAUCGUAUAUUCUCUCUGGUAAUCAAGGCAAAACACUUUCUCUUGUCGAGAUGGUUCCCUCAGUCCGAUCAGUGUCCAAAGUGAUCUAAAAAACAAAGGCACAAAUGCUCACGAAGACCGCCUUGUCCAAGGUCCUAUACUUUCUUCAGUGAAGUAUAUACUGUAGAAAGGAACUCAAGACAUCCACAGGAGUUGCAGAUUGUUUGUUCAAGGUCCUUAUAAAGUUUCACAGUACACAUACCAUACAACAUACAAUUUUUAGGUGUAUUUUGUUCACAGAAAUUUCAAUACUGCCACUUCUUAAUGUGUGGCACGCCUGUAAGUAUAUGUUCACACAAAAUUCAUUAAUGAAACGUUGACUUUUAUUGG